rnacentral:rRNA from 1 species
AUGAGCUGGUCGGUCACCUCUUUUUUCGGAUAUUUUGCGAUUCAGUUUCUACCACUUAUGGAUGGGAGUGGUGGGUUAUUGUUUUUCCGGAUCUUUAGGAAAUUUUAUUUCAGAGUGGGGAACAAGGGUUUGGUCGGGCAGCUCUUUUUUUUCCGGAUAUUUAGCAAAUCAUUUUCUACAACUUAUGGAUGGCAGUGGUGGGUGUUUGUAUUUUCUCAAUCUUUAGCAAAUCGUUUCCCUGAUUGGGGAAGAAGGGUCGGGUCUGGCAGGUCUCCUUUUUGGAUAUUUAUCGAAUCAUUUUCUACCACUUAUGGAUGGCAGUGGUGGGUAAUUGUUUGA